rnacentral:rRNA from 1 species
GACGAACGCUGGCGGCGUGCCUAAUACAUGCAAGUAGAACGAGUUGCGACCGGGUGAGUAACGCGUGGUAACCUGCCUCAUAGCAGGGGAUAACUACUGGAAACGGUAGCUAAUACCGCAUACCAUCGGUUGUGCCCCGAUGGGAUUUGCUAGUAGGGGGGGUAACGGCUCACCUCGUCGCCGAUCCAUAUCUGGUCUGAGAGGAUGACCAGCGACACUGGAACUGAUACAAGGGCCAGACGCCUACGUGAGGCAGCAGUGGGGAAUAUUGCACAAUGGGCGCAAGCCUGAUGCAGCCAUGCCGCGUGUAUGAAGAAGGCCGUCGGGGUGUAAAGUACUGUCAGCGAGGAGGCGUUACGCGCAGAAGAAGCACCGGCUAACUCCGUGCCAGCAGCCGCGGUAAUAC